CCUACGGGAGGCAGCAGUGAGGAAUAUUGGUCAAUGGGCGGAAGGCUGAACCAGCCAAGCCGCGUGAGGGACGAAGGUGCCAAGCAUUGUAAACUUCUUUUGUCAAGGGACAAAGUCACGCUCGAGAGCCUGACCGAGGGUACUGGAAGAAAAAGCAUCGGCUAACUCCGUGCCAGCAGCCGCGGUAAUACGGAGGAUGCGAGCGUUAUCCGGAUUUAUUGGGUUGAAAGGGUGCGUAGGCGGGCCGUUAAGUCAGCGGUAAAAGCCCGCGGCUAAACCCCGGAGAGCCGUUGAAACUGGCUGUCUUGAGAGGGCGAGAGGUAUGCGGAAUGCGCAGUGUAGCGGUGAAAUGCGUAGAUAUUGCGCAGAACUCCGAUUGCGAAGGCAGCAUACCGGCGGCGAACUGACGCUGAGGCACGAAAUCGUGGGUAUCGAACAGGAUUAGAUACCCGAGUAGUC
rnacentral:rRNA from 1 species